rnacentral:rRNA from 1 species
GACGAACGCUGGCGGCGUGCCUAAUACAUGCAAGUUGAGCGCUGAAGGGUGGUACUUGUACCAACUGGAUGAGCAGCGAACGGGUGAGUAACGCGUGGGGAAUCUGCCUUUGAGAGGGGGACAACAUUGGGAAACGAAUGCUAAUACCGCAUAAAAACUUUAAACACAAGGUUUAAGAUUGAAAGAUGCAAUUGCAUCACCCAAAGAAGAUCCCGCUUUGCAUUAGCUAGUUGGUGAGGGAAAGGCCCACCAAGGCAACGCAGCAUAGCCGACCCGAGAGGGGGAUCGCCCACAUUGGAACUGAGCCACGGUCCAGACUCCUACGGCAGGCACCAGUAGGGAAUCUUCCGCAAUGGGCGAAAGCCUGACGGAGCAACGCCGCGUGAGUGAUGAAGGUCUUCGGAUCGUAAAACUCUGUUAUUAGGAAAGACCAAAUGUGUAAGUAACUAUGCACGUCUUGACGGUACCUAAUCAGAAAGCCCCGGCUAACUACGUG